AGAACAGGCAAAACGUAGUUGCAGAUGCCAGGGCCUACAGGCCCCAGCGAGUAGGAGGGGCGCGGCGGUGUGCGCGGAAGGGAAUGGGCGUGAGCCUGCCUGGAGCCGCCGUCGGUGCAGAUCUUGGUGGUAGUAGCAAAUACUCGAGCGAUAUCCUGGAGAUCUGAUGUGGAGAAGGGUUCCAUGUGAACAGCAUUUGCACAUGGGUCAGUCGGUCCUAAGCUGCAGGAGAAAUCCGGCUCUUGGCAUUGGCCAUUUGCCUACAGAUGAGCGAACCGUCUUCGGAUGGGGCUGCCAAUAUAUUUGGAGCGAGAGGGAAUCCGGUACUGAUUCCGGAACCUGGUCGCGGAUAACCCCUCUUCGGGGGGGACAAUUGGGGUCCUCGCGAUCUACACCGUAAGGUGGCUAAACUCGGGAAAGUCGUCCAUCAUCCCGGGCAGAGUUUUCUGUUCUGUAUAAGGGCCCGGAUCCCUGGAAUCGCCUCGCGCGGAGAGAGGGAACCGGUGCCCGAAGAGCCCCGCAGUUCUUGCGGGGUCCGCUUGGAUGGUGGUCGAACCUUGAAACAUCCGAGAGAGGGUCGUACAACAUUUCGUGCCAGUCC
rnacentral:rRNA from 1 species